GCCCUAACUGGGCCUUAGGAGAAAAGAAACAUGAAGAGAAUCCCAGACAUUGUUGUAACAGGGCAGGGGAAACGGUGGUUGCGCCCCAGGGCCCAAACUUCCUGGGUUCAAAUCAGGGUUCCACCGACUCUGGGUAAAUUGCUUGAAUAGUGCCUCACACAUAAGCAGCCUUUAUUAUAAAUGUUGGCAUUGGUCAGGUGCAGUGGCUCACGCCUGUAGUCCCAGCACUUUGGGAGGCCAAGGUGGGUGGAUCAUGAGGUCAGGAGUUCAAGACCAGCCUGGCCAAGAUGGUGAAACCCCGUCUCUACUAAAAAUACAAAAAAAUUAGCCAGGCACGGUGGCGGGCGCCUAUA
rnacentral:lncRNA from 1 species